rnacentral:rRNA from 1 species
UCCGGUUGAUCCUGCCGGACCCGACUGCUAUCAGGGUGGGGCUAACCCAUGGAAGUCUAGGAGCCGGGGCUACGGCCGGCUCCGGCGGACGGCUCAGUAGCACGUGGCUAACCUACCCUCGGGAGGGGGAUAACCCCGGGAAACUGGGGCUAAUCCCCCAUAGGCGCAGACUCCUGGAAUGGGUCCGCGCUGAAAAGGCUGCAACGCCAUGCCCGUUGCAGCCGCCCGAGGAUGGGGCUGCGCCCCAUCAGGUAGUUGGCGGGGUAACGGCCCGCCAAGCCGAUAACGGGUGGGGGCCGUGAGAGCGGGAGCCCCGAGAUGGGCACUGAGACAAGGGCCCAGGCCCUACGGGGCGCACCAGGGGCGAAACUUCCGCAAUGCGGGAAACCGUGACGGAGCCACCCUGAGUGCCACCCGAUGAGGGUGGCUUUUGCCCGGUCUAAAAAGCCGGGCGAAUAAGCGGGGGGCAAGCCUGGUGUCAGCCGCCGCGGUAAUACCAGCCCCGCGAGUGGUCGGGACGAUUAUUGGGCCUAAAGCGUCCGUAGCCGGCCCGGCAAGUCCCCCUUUAAAGCCCACGGCUCAACCGUGGGAGCGGGGGGAUACUGUCGGGCUAGGGGGCGGGAGAGGCCGGGGGUACUCCUGGGGUAGGGGCGAAAUCCUAUAAUCCCAGGAGGACCACCAGUGGCGAAGGCGCCCGGCUGGAACGCGCCCGACGGUGAGGGACGAAAGCUGGGGGAGCAAAGGGGAUUAGAUACCCCCGUAGUCCCAGCUGUAAACGAUGCGGGCUAGGUGUUGGGUGGGCCUCGAGCCCGCCCAGUGUCGUAGGGAAGCCGUUAAGCCCGCCGCCUGGGGAGUACGGCCGCAAGGCUGAAACUUAAAGGAAUUGGUGGGGGAGCACCACAAGGGGUGAAGCUUUCGGUUUAAUUGGAGUCAACGCCGGG